rnacentral:miRNA from 1 species
UGGGAUGAUUACUCAUUUAA